AGCAGCCGCGGUAAUUCCAGCUCCAAUAGCGUAUAUUAAAGUUGUUGCAGUUAAAAGCUCGUAGUUGAAUUUCGGGAUCAGUUGAUCGGUCGUGCCUCGGUACGUACUGGUCAAAUUGAUUCCUACCUUCUGACGAACCACGAUGUCGUUAAUUUGGUGUCGCGGGAAAUCAGGACUGUUACUUUGAAAAAUUGAGUGUUUAAAGCAGGCUCGCGCUUGAAUACAUUAGCAUGGAAUAAUGAAAUAGGACGUUUGAUUCUAUUUUGUUGGUUUCUAGGAUCGACGUAAUGAUUAAUAGGGAUAGUUGGGGGCAUUAGUAUUCAAUUGUCAGAGGUGAAAUUCUUGGAUUUAUUGAAGACUAACUACUGCGAAAGCAUUUGCCAAGGAUGUUUUCAUUAAUCAAGAACGAAAGUUAGGGAUCGAAGACGAUCAGAUACCGUCGUAGUCUUAACCAUAAACUAUGCCGACUAGGGAUCGGAUGAUGUUAAUUUUUAAUGUACUCGUUCGGCGUCCGUUACGG
rnacentral:misc_RNA from 1 species